rnacentral:rRNA from 1 species
GGACCCGCACAAGUAGUGGAGCAUGUGGUUUAAUUCGAAGAUACGCGCAGAACCUUACCAACACUUGACAUGUUCGUCGCGACUUUAAGAGAUUAAAGUUUUCGGUUCGGCCGGACGAAACACAGGUGCUGCAUGGCUGUCGUCAGCUCGUGUCGUGAGAUGUUGGUUAAGUCCCGCAACGAGCGCAACCCUCACUUUUAGUUGCCAUCAUUUAGUUGGGCACUCUGAAAGAACUGCCAGUGAUAAGCUGGAGGAAGGUGGGGAUGACGUCAAGUCCUCAUGGCCCUUACGUGUUGGGCUACACACGUGCUACAAUGGUAUCUACAACAGGAAGCUGGGAGUGCCUGAAGUC